rnacentral:rRNA from 1 species
GACGAACGCUGGCGGCGUGCUUAACACAUGCAAGUCGAACGAAGAGCGACGGAAGCUUGCUUCUAUCAAUCUUAGUGGCGCACGGGUGAGUAACGCGUAAUCAACCUGCCCUUCAGAGGGGGACAACAGUUGGAAACGACUGCUAAUACCGCAUACGAUCUAACCUCGGCAUCGAGGAUAGAUGAAAGGUGGCCUCUACAUGUAAGCUAUCACUGAAGGAGGGGAUUGCGUCUGAUUAGCUAGUUGGAGGGGUAACGGCCCACCAAGGCGAUGAUCAGUAGCCGGCCGGAGAGGAUGAACGGCAACAUUGGGACUGAGACACGGCCCAGACUCCUACGGGAGGCAGCAGUGGGGAAUCUUCCGCAAUGGACGAAAGUCUGACGGAGCAACGCCGCGUGAGUGAUGACGGCCUUCGGGUUGUAAAGCUCUGUUAAUCGGGACGAAAGGCCUUCUUGCGAAUAGUGAGAAGGAUUGACGGUACCGGAAUAGAAAGCCACGGCUAACUACGUG